rfam:Ovis aries breed Texel chromosome 16, whole genome shotgun sequence.
UCCCUGGUGGCUCAGACAGUAAAGUGCCUGUCUGUAAUGCAGGAGACCCAGGUUCAGUUCCUGGGUUGGGAA